rnacentral:rRNA from 1 species
GUCCACGCCCUAAACGAUGUCUACUAGUUGUUGGGAGAGUAAAAUCUCUUAGUAACGCAGCUAACGCGUGAAGUAGACCGCCUGGGGAGUACGGUCGCAAGAUUAAAACUCAAAGGAAUUGACGGGGGCCCGCACAAGCGGUGGAUUAUGUGGAUUAAUUCGAUGCAACGCGAAAAACCUUACCUGGCCUUGACAUGUACCGAAUUUGUGAGAGAUCACUUAGUGCUCGAAAGAGAACGGUAACACAGGUGCUGCAUGGCUGUCGU